GACGAACGCUGGCGGCGUGCCUAAUACAUGCAAGUCGAACGCAGUGGGGACGGUUGCGUAACACGUGGGUAACCUCCCAUCAGAGGGGAUAACACUUGGAAACAGGUGCUAAACCGAUACUGAUGGAUGGACCCGCGGUGCAUUAGCGAGUUGGUGGGGUAACGGCUAACCAAGGCCACGAUGCAUAGCCGGCCGGAGAGGUGGAUCGGCCAAACGGGAACUGAGACACGGCCCAGACUCCUACGGGAGGCAGCAGUAGGGAAUCUUCGGCAAGGGACGAAAGGCGGACCGAGCAACGCCGCGUGAGUGAAGAAGGUUUUCGGAUCGUAAAACUCUGUUGUUAGAGAAGCGGUAUCUAACCAGAAAGCCACGGCUAACUACGUGCCAGCAGCCGCGGUAAUUC
rnacentral:rRNA from 1 species